rnacentral:rRNA from 1 species
UACAGUAAAGACUGAGGAAACCCUCUUUAAUCUGUGUUUACUAAUUAUCUGAGUUUCAAAGGUGGUUUAUUGAAUUUUAGAAGGAAGGGUGAAAUUGUUGAUAUUGAAAGACAUUCGAUGGCGAAAGCAUUAACCAAUUUGGAUCUAACGUUAGGUACUAAAGUAUGGGGAUAAAUAGGAUUAGAGACCUAGUAGUCCAUACCUUAAACAAUGAGUGUCCAACAUCUUUUAGUAAAAAACUAUCUGGGGUUURAAGYUAACGCGMGAAACCC